GAUGAACGCUGGCGGCGUGCCUAAUACAUGCAAGUCGAGCGAACAGACGAGGAGCUUGCUCCUUUGACGUUAGCGGCGGACGGGUGAGUAACACGUGGAUAACCUACCUAUAAGACUGGGAUAACUUCGGGAAACCGGAGCUAAUACCGGAUAAUAUAUUGAACCGCAUGGUUCAAUAGUGAAAGACGGUUUUGCUGUCACUUAUAGAUGGAUCCGCGCCGCAUUAGCUAGUUGGUAAGGUAACGGCUUACCAAGGCAACGAUGCGUAGCCGACCUGAGAGGGUGAUCGGCCACACUGGAACUGAGACACGGUCCAGACCCCUACGGGAGGCAGCAGUAGGGAAUCUUCCGCAAUGGGCGAAAGCCUGACGGAGCAACGCCGCGUGAGUGAUGAAGGUCUUCGGAUCGUAAAACUCUGUUAUUAGGGAAGAACAAAUGUGUAAGUAACUAUGCACGUCUUGACGGUACCUAAUCAGAAAGCCACGGCUAACUACGUG
rnacentral:rRNA from 1 species